AAAUAAGCCAAAUCGGAAUAACGUAUUAAAACAGCUGCUUGUUGACGUUGAGAAAACCUAUUGAGUUUAAUACAGACAUCAACAUCCCAGUGUGAGAGCGACGUCAUCUUGUGAAAUGAAUUGGUUCAUCAUCUGCUGUUUGAUGACUUUGGCCUUCACCUUGUCCACGCAGCAAGAAAAUUGCCCAAAAUAUGGAGUAUUGUUCGAGGAUGGAUAUACAUACAAUCCGGAACCAUGUACAAAAUGUGUCUGCAUAAAAGGUCACUUUGAAUGUAUGUCUUUCUCGUGUAUCCUGCCAAAGUGUAAAGGCAACGUGAAGCCUAUCGUAAGGAAAGGCAAAUGCUGUCCAACGUGUCCGAAACCUCAAAAUGUUAAUAACAGCGGCCUCUAUCCUUUUAAGAGGUCAUAGUUUGAUUUUGUUUUGAUUUUUGUGGUGGUUGAUCUUUGCUAUAUAAAUUCGAAAACAAAAA